rnacentral:rRNA from 1 species
CGGAAUCUGCCUAUUUGUGGGGGAUAACGUAGGGAAACUUACGCUAAUACCGCAUACGACCUACGGGUGAAAGCGGAGGACCUUCGGGCUUCGCGCAGAUAGAUGAGCCGAUGUCGGAUUAGCUAGUUGGCGGGGUAAAGGCCCACCAAGGCGACGAUCCGUAGCUGGUCUGAGAGGAUGAUCAGCCACACUGGAACUGAGACACGGUCCAGACUCCUACGGGAGGCAGCAGUGGGGAAUAUUGGACAAUGGGCGCAAGCCUGAUCCAGCCAUGCCGCGUGGGUGAAGAAGGCCUUCGGGUUGUAAAGCCCUUUUGUUGGGAAAGAAAAGCAGUCGGUUAAUACCCGAUUGUUCUGACGGUACCCAAAGAAUAAGCACCGGCUAACUUCGUGCCAGCAGCCGCGGUAAUACGAAGGGUGCAAGCGUUACUCGGAAUUACUGGGCGUAAAGCGUGCGUAGGUGGUCUGUUAAGUCUGAUGUGAAAGCCCUGGGCUCAACCUGGGAAUUGCAUUGGAUACUGGCAGGCUAGAGUGCGGUAGAGGGUAGUGGAAUUCCCGGU